rnacentral:lncRNA from 1 species
CUAAACAUUGCCUUUCCACAGUAGAGAUGUUGAUGAUGUUUCUAUGCUGAAUACAGUUGUGUUUUUCCUUAUUUCAAGCUAAGGGGUACAUGAUUGUUCCCACCUCCAACUGAGAACAAAAAAAUGCCAUAAAUUGCUCCUUCUUCUUUUUUUUUUUUUUUUUGGUCAGAUUCUUGUUCAAUACUAGGAAAUGUCUUUAAUACACUCACUAUUUAAUUGAACUUUCUUGGUAUAGGAAAUUCUCUGUUCAUUAAAGGAUUUAUUAAUCUUAUAAUCAACUUGAUAUAAAGUUUUUUCUUCUUGUAACAAAAUUAAUUUUAAGUGAUCCUGUCAUGUUGCUCAUGGUACAGCCAAGCUGUAAAAUUGAUUAUUCUGCUAAUGUGAUUUCUUUGGGGGCUUAGACCAAACUCACUGACUCAUUUCUCCAUUCAUAAAUUGAGGCAUUUUGGAACACCUACAAUAUUUGAGUCAUUAUACUUAGGCCAAGAAAUGCAAUGGCUUAAAUGUCUCUGUCCACAGACAUUCAAAGUCUAAUCGAGGAGGGAAUCACUGUGGUUAGUGAGUUAAGCGCUCAAGCAUGGGGAGCGUAUAGGCAAGGCAUCAAAACCAAACCAGGAAACCAUAGUGUAUUUCUAUGGGAGUUGGUGAGUUAGCUGAUUUUUGAAGAGACAGCUCCACACUAGCGCUAUUAAAAAACAUGCUUUUUCUGAAAAGUGAGGGCAGGUGUACAAGAAGAGCAAAAGGCAUCUGUGAAAGCAUGGAGAAAUAAAUAGGACAGUGAACAGUUGUACAUUGCUGUUAGUAAUACCUAUAAGUCAGGAGCUCUCUGUUGUAUGGCAAACAUUUGUGUGGUAGAAAGGGCAGAAUGAUUCCCUCCACUUUCUAUCAUAUUAAACUCUCCACCUAAGUAAUUUCAUUCAGUCCCAAGGGACAUGCACAUGUUUAUCGCAAAUAUAUGAAGCACUGUACAUGCCUGUUGGUGGACUACAAACUUAGCUUAUGUGCAUUAAGCAAGAUUUUGAGAAAUGGAAUAUUUCCUGCCAUAUCCACAGAGAGGAUGUCACAGAUAUUAGUGACUGCAGCCCUCCAGAGUAAGCUCGUGAGCCCUAAGGGCACUCAGAAAGGCAAAUACUUCUAACUUAGCAGCCAUCAGACUUCAGUCACUCAUCGAGCUGAGAGGAAACUCGG